GAUGAACGCUAGCGGCAGGCCUAACACAUGCAAGUCGAGGGAUAAGCCUUCGGGCUAAGACCGGCGCACGGGUGCGUAACGCGUAUACAAUCUGCCGUUUAUCCGGGGGAUAGCCCGAAGAAAUUUGGAUUAAUACCCUAUGGUAUAAGAGCACGGCAUCGUGCACUUAUUAACGCUACGGCGGUAAAAGAUGAGUAUGCGUUCUAUUAGCUAGUUGGAGAGGUAACGGCUCCCCAAGGCGACGAUAGAUAGGGGUUCUGAGAGGGAGGUCCCCCACACUGGUACUGCGGUACGGACCAGACUCCUACGGGAGGCAGCAGUGCGGAAUAUUGGACAAUGGUCGGAAGCCUGAUCCAGCCAUGCCGCGUGCAGGAGGCCGGCCUUAUGGGUUGUAAACUGCUUUUGUAAGGGAAGAAUAAGGAGUACGUGUACUUUGAUGACGGUACCUUACGAAUAAGCAUCGGCUAACUCCGUG
rnacentral:rRNA from 1 species